ensembl:lncRNA
UUUAUAUUUAGAGAGUGCUUUCUGGGACGCUCGGGACGGGAUAGUCAAUGUGGCGCGAAUUCCCCGUGCGCGAGCAGCCAGCCAUGUCGUCUUCGACCGUUCCAUGUGAGCGUGACGUCCUACUCUUUAAACAUUCGCACCUUUCAGACGCUGUGAUCAACCCUAUCGACCACGACGUUAUUUAUCAGAUUUUCGGGAAACUCUUCCUCUCAUCUGGGCGCUUUCAGCCUUCUCUGUCAACGCUCCGUUCCGUCCUUCUCCGCCCCCUCGCCCCCCUCCUGCCAGCCCAACUCCGUUGUGAUUGGUUACCAGAGGUGGGGGGUAAUCAUUGCUCAGGUCAAGCAAGUCACAAGUCAAGUCAUACAAAAAUCUGAUGAUCUAAC